AGAAUGAACGCUGGCGGCGUGCCUAACACAUGCAAGUCGUGCGCGAAAGGGACUUCGGUCCCCGGUAGAGCGGCGAACGGGUGAGUAACACGUGGGUAACCUGUCUGAGAGUGGGGGAUAACCUGGGGAAACUCGGGCUAAUACCGCAUACGUCCGCUGGGCUUCGGCUCGGCGAGGAAAGGUGGCCUCUGCUUGCAAGCCACCACUCCCAGAGGGGCCCGCGCCUGAUUAGCUAGUUGGCGGGGUAACGGCCCACCAAGGCGACGAUCAGUA
rnacentral:rRNA from 1 species